GGCGAACGGGUGAGUAACGCGUGAGGAACCUGCCUUUCAGUGGGGGACAACAGUUGGAAACGACUGCUAAUACCGCAUAACACUUUUAGGUCGCAUGAUCUGAAAGUCAAAGAUUUAUUGCUGAAAGAUGGCCUCGCGUCUGAUUAGUUAGUCGGCGGGGUAACGGCCCACCGAGACGACGAUCAGUAGGGGUUCUGAGAGGAAAGUCCCCCACAUUGGAGCUGAGACACGGUCCAAACUCCUACGGGAGGCAGCAGUGAGGAAUAUUGGUCAAUGGGCGGAAGCCUGAACCAGCCAAGUAGCGUGCAGGACGACGGCCCUAUGGGUUGUAAACUGCUUUUAUGCGGGGAUAAAGUGGGCAACGUGUGGCCUUUUGCAGGUACCGCAUGAAUAAGGACCGGCUAAUUCCGUGCCAGCAGCCGCGGUAAUACGGAAGGUCCGGGCGUUAUCCGGAUUUAUUGGGUUUAAAGGGAGCGCAGGCCGCCGGGCAAGCGUGUUGUGAAAUGCAGUCGCUCAACGUCUGCACUGCAGCGCGAACUGCCCAGCUUGAGUGCGCGCAACGUUGGCGGAAUUCGCCGUGUAGCGGUGAAAUGCUUAGAUAUGGCGAAGAACUCCGAUUGCGAAGGCAGCUGACGGGUGCGUAACUGACGCUCAUGCUCGAAAGUGCGGGUAUCGAACAGGAUUAGAUACCCUGGUAGUCCGCACGGUAAACGAUGGAUGCCCGCUGUUGGCCUGAAUAGGUCAACCGGCCAACCGAAAGCAUUAACCAUCCCACCUGGGGAGUACGCCGCCAACGGGGAAAAUUCAAAGAAAUGGACGGGGGCCCGCACAAGCGGAGAAACAGGUGGUUAAAUUGGAUGAUACGCGAGGAACCUUACCCGGGCUUGAAUUGCAGAGGAAGGAUUUGGAGACAAUGACGCCCUUCGGGGUCUCUGUGAAGGUACUGCAUGGUUGUCGUCAGCUCGUGCCGUGAGGUGUCGGCUUUAAGUGCCAUAACGAGCGCAACCCCUAUCUUCAGUAGCCAGCAGGUAAGGCUGGGCACUCUGGAGAGACUGCCAGGGAUAACCUGGAGGAAGGUGGGGACGACGUCAAAUCAUCAUGCCCCUUAUGAUCUGGGCGACACACGUGCUACAAUGGCGGUCACAGAGUGAGGCGAACCCGCGAGGGGGAGCAAACCACAAAAAGGCCGUCCCAGUUCGGACUGUAGUCUGCAACCCGACUACACGAAGCUGGAAUAGCUAGUAAUCGCGAAUCAGAAUGUCGCGGUGAAUA
rnacentral:rRNA from 1 species